rnacentral:lncRNA from 1 species
ACCCUAUGGGUCAGAGGACACUGGACUAACCUUCUACUUUCUAGGUUGGAUGAAGAAAAUAUCAAAGUGCAGAGUAGGUCCUGUGGCAGUCGGAGGGCAGGACGCAGAGCCCUGAGGAGCAUCAGUUGGUCACCAACCUGGUCUCCUGGAUCCUCUGAUACAGGUGUGCCUGUGGCAGGGUAGGAUCUGGUGCAUAGGGCCAGGAAAGAUGUGGCGUCUCCUAUUCUCUCAGGGCUUUGCUCUGCCAAUGUUCCCACUUCACCCUGAGCAGCCUCCCUUCAGGGCGCCUGGCUGAUGUCCUCAUGGUCCCUCUGCUAGGGCGGAGUUCAGAGGCUGAGCUGCAGUGGCGGCUGCAGGUCAACCGCCUCCAAGAGCUCAUAGACCAGCUUGAGUGCAAGGUAAGGGGCUGGGUGGCCAGUGCCCCUCAGAAGGGCUCCUGUCGCACCUGCCCGAGUCGAUACACAGAGGCUCCGUUUAUAUUCUGUGUCUCUUGCAGGCACCACGGUUGGAACCCAUGCAUGAAGGGGACCUUGCCAAGGGUCUUGACUCACACAUCCUUGUAGCACAGAGGCAAGUACAAGUGGCAGAGGAUGCCCUGCAGGAUUUCCAUCGUGCUCUGUGCUGCUACAUGAACUUCACAGGAGCCCAAAGCCACUGUCUGCAUGUAUCUGCCCAGAAGAUGCUAGACAAUGCUGCUUUCACCCUAUAUGA